rnacentral:rRNA from 1 species
UACGGAGGGUGCAAGCGUUAGCCGGAUUCACUGGGUUUAAAGGGUGCGUAGGUGGAUUGGUAAGUCAGUGGUGAAAUCUCCGAGCUUAACUCGGAAAGGUCAACUGAUACUGUGCGGCUAGAGUGCGGAAGGGGCAACUGGAAUUCUUGGUGUAGCGGUGAAAUGCGUAGAUAUCAAGAGGAACACCUGCGGCGAAGGCGGGUUGCUGGGCCGACACUGACGCUGAGGCGCGAAAGCCAGGGGAGCGAACGGG